UGAGGAAUUUUGCGCAAUGGAGGAAACUCUGACGCAGCGACGCCUCGUGAACGAUGAAGUCUUUCGGGAUGUAAAGUUCUGUCAGUGGGGACGAAAAAUGACGGUACCCACAGAGGAAGCACCGGCUAACUACGUGCCAGCAGCCGCGGUAAUACGUAGGGUGCGAGCGUUAUCCGGAAUUAUUGGGCGUAAAGGGUGCGUAGGCGGUUGGAUAAGUAAGGUGUGAAAGCCACAGGCUUAACUUGUGGUUGCGCCUUAAACUGUCCAGCUAGAGGACACUAGAGGAUAGUGGAACUCGUGGUGUAGCGGUGAAAUGCGUAGAUAUCACGAGGAACACCAGUAGCGAAGGCGGCUAUCUGGGGUGUUUCUGACGCUGAGGCACGAAAGCAUGGGGAGCAAACAGG
rnacentral:rRNA from 1 species